UCUGGUAGGUGCCAACCUUGGUUGGCACAGGGCCAGCCGACUGCGCUGACGCAUCCGUGCCAACCAAGGUUGGCACCUACCGGA
rnacentral:ncRNA from 3 species